rnacentral:rRNA from 1 species
AUUGAACGCUGGCGGCAGGCCUAACACAUGCAAGUCGAGCGAGCGGCGGACGGGUGAGUAAUGUCUGGGAAUCUGCCUGAUGGAGGGGGAUAACUACUGGAAACGGUAGCUAAUACCGCAUACCAUCAGAUGUGCCCAUAUGGGAUUAGCUAGUAGGUGGGGUAAUGGCUCACCUAGGCGACGAUCUCUAGCUGGUCUGAGAGGAUGACCAGCCACACUGGGACUGAGACACGGUCCAGACUCCUACGGGAGGCAGCAGUGGGGAAUAUUGCACAAUGGGCGCAAGCCUGAUGCAGCCAUGCCGCGUGUGUGAAGAAGGCCUUCGGGUUGUAAAGCACUUUCAGCGAGGAGGCGUUACUCGCAGAAGAAGCACCGGCUAACUCCGUGCCAGCAGCCGCGGUAAUUC